rnacentral:rRNA from 1 species
GACGAACGCUGGCGGCGUGCUUAACACAUGCAAGUCGAACGAAGAGCGAUGGGAGCUUGCUUCUAUCAAUCUUAGUGGCGAACGGGUGAGUAACGCGUAAUCAACCUGCCCUUCAGAGGGGGACAACAGUUGGAAACGACUGCUAAUACCGCAUACAAUCUAAUCUCGGCAUCGAGGAUAGAUGAAAGGUGGCCUCUACAUGUAAGCUAUCACUGAAGGAGGGGAUUGCGUCUGAUUAGCUAGUUGGAGGGGUAACGGCCCACCAAGGCGAUGAUCAGUAGCCGGUCUGAGAGGAUGAACGGCCACAUUGGGACUGAGACACGGCCCAGACCCCUACGGGAGGCAGCAGUGGGGAAUCUUCCGCAAUGGACGAAAGUCUGACGGAGCAACGCCGCGUGAGUGAUGACGGCCUUCGGGUUGUAAAGCUCUGUUAAUCGGGGCGAAAGGCCUUCUUGCGAAUAGUGAGAAGGAUUGACGGUACCGGAAUAGAAAGCCACGGCUAACUACGUG